UACGUAGGGUGCGAGCGUUGUCCGGAAUUAUUGGGCGUAAAGGGCUCGUAGGCGGUUUGUCGCGUCGGGAGUGAAAACCUUGGGCUUAACUCAGGGCUUGCUUUCGAUACGGGCAGACUAGAGGUAUGCAGGGGAGAACGGAAUUCCUGGUAUAGCGGUGAAAUGCGCAGAUAUCAGGAGGAACACCGGUGGCGAAGGCGGGUCUCUGGGCCGAUACUGACGCUGAGGAGCGAAAGCGUGGGGAGCGAACAGG
rnacentral:rRNA from 1 species